AGGGUGCCACACAGCGCACUUGGGGACCGGGGAAAGCCCUGCUGCACCUCCGGCGACGUGAGAGGAGAGCCUCAGAGCCUCUGUGCAUUAGCGUGGAGGCCGGGCGGUGCGGAGCCGCCCUCUCGGCUCAGAGGAGCAGCGAGCGGGGCUUUGGGGACGGAGCUUCUGACUGAACAAGAGCCUGACGGACGGUGAGAGGAAAUCCUGCGGUUUGAUGAGCAGCUGAGGCACGACCACGCGAACAGACUGAGGCAGCCAACAGCAGCUCUCUCCAGGAAAUACACAAUACAGAAGCUGGUCUACAAAUUUUACCCAGCAGACACUCAGACGUUUACCCACAUUCAGCGACGGCCGAGUGUGGAUUAAUUACAGUUCUGCAACCUGAGAACCCAGAGGGAAGGCCAUCCAUUAGCAGAAGUGGGUCUGGGCUGCAGGCUGAGCGCGUCUGAUGCAGCAGCGCCGCCCUGCAGGCGGAGAGAGAAACAAGCAGCAGGAGGCACAUCAUCACCCUGAUGAUGUUGGUGUGGUAAUGCAG